AAACGUUGCAGUGCUGUGCAAAAGAUCACUUUAAAAAUUUCCUAAAAAUUAACAACAGGUCAUGAAAAAUCUACAUUUACGCUGUCCUCGAUUCGUAAAAGUUUGUAACGGGAAACGAUAGACAUUACAACCCUUGAGAAAGACCACAACCAAACGGUCGAAACGUCGGGAACGUAAAAAAAUAAUCGUUUCUACUAAAAGACUG